ACGCUGGCGGCGUGCCUAACACAUGCAAGUCGAACGGAGAUUACGGACGGAAGUUUUCGGAUGGAAGACUGUAAUUCUUAGUGGCGGACGGGUGAGUAACGCGUGGGCAACCUGCCCUAUACAGGGGGAUAGCAGCUGGAAACGGCUGGUAAGACCGCAUAAGUCGGCGAAACCGCAUGGUUUUGCCGGGAAAUGAGCAAUCAGGUAUAGGAUGGGCCCGCGUCCGAUUAGCCAGUUGGCAGGGUAAAAGCCUACCAAAGCAACGAUCGGUAGCCGGACUGAGAGGUCGGACGGCCACAUUGGGACUGAGACACGGCCCAAACUCCUACGGGAGGCAGCAGUGGGGGAUAUUGCACAAUGGAGGAAACUCUGAUGCAGCGACGCCGCGUGGGUGAAGAAGUAUUUCGGUAUGUAAAGCUCUAUCAGCAGGGAAGAUGAUGACGGUACCUGACUAAGAAGCCCCGGCUAACUACGUGCCAGCAGCCGCGGUAAUACGUAGGGGGCAAGCGUUAUCCGGAUUUACUGGGUGUAAAGGGAGCGCAGGCGGUUUGGCAAGUUGAGAGUGGAAGCAGGGGGCUCAACCCCCUGACUGCUCCCAAAACUGUUAAACUUGAGUAUGGGAGAGGCAGGCGGAAUUCCUAGUGUAGCGGUGAAAUGCUUAGAUAUUAGGAAGAACACCGGUGGCGAAAGCGGCCUGCUGGACCAAAACUGACGCUGAGGCUCGAAAGCGAGGGUAGCAAACAGGAUUAGAUACCCCUGGUAGUCCACGCUGUAAACGAUGAAUACUAGGUGCUGGGAGGCAUAAGCCUUUCCGGUGCCGUCGCAACGCAUUAAGUAUCCCCCUGGGGGGAGUACGUUCCGCAAGAAUGAACUCAAGGAAUUGACGGGGACCCGCACAGCGGUGGAGACA
rnacentral:rRNA from 1 species